GAUGAACGCUGGCGGCGUGCCUAAUACAUGCCAGUCGAGCGAACGGACGAGAAUCUUGCUUCUCUGAUGUUAGCGGCGGACGGGUGAGUAACACGUGGAUAACCUACCUAUAAUACUGGGAUAACUUCGGGAAACCGGAGCUAAUACCGGAUAAUAUUUUGAACCGCAUGGUUCAAAAGUGAAAGACGGUCUUGCUGUCACUUAUAGAUGGAUCCGCUCUGCAUUAGCUAGUUGGUAAGGUAACGGCUUACCGAGGCAACGAUGCAUAGCCGACCUGAGAGGGUGAUAGGCAACACUGGAACUGAGACACGGUCCAGAGUACUACGGGAGGCAGCAGUAGGGAAUGUUCCGCAAUGGGCGAAAGCAUGACGGAGCAACGCCGCGUGAGUGAUGAAGGUCUUCGGAUCGUAAAACUCUGUUAUUAGGGAAGAAAAUAUGUGUAAGUAACUGUGGACAUCUUGACGGUACCUAAUCAGAAAGCAACGGCUAACUACGUG
rnacentral:rRNA from 1 species